rnacentral:lncRNA from 1 species
AUCCAACUCUAGACUUGCAUUAAUCUUUUAGAGGACAAAAUAUUUCUUAGAAGAAUUCAUGAGUAGUAACCUUCUAGAAAGGGAUCAAGAUUCACUGCUUCCUAGUCUAAUUAACGCAAUCACGUGAUAUGUUCUUCCAAAAAGUCAAGGUAAAACCAAAACUUCUUUAUUUUUUUAUGAAAAGCUCAACUUACCAAAUCCUCAGAUCAAGAUUCCUUUCGGGUCUCACCAAAGACAUGGUCUAGGAAAACAAAGCACAUUAAAUGGCAU